UACGGAGGGUGCAAGCGUUGUCCGGAAUUAUUGGGUGUAAAGGGUGUGUAGGCGGACCUGUAAGUCAGAGGUGAAAGCCCACGGCUUAACCGUGGAAUUGCCUUUGAUACUGCAGGUCUUGAGUCCUGGAGAGGCUACUAGAAUUCGUGGUGUAGCGGUGAAAUGCGUAGAUAUCACGAGGAAUACCUGAUGCGUAGGCGGGUAGCUGGACAGGAACUGACGCUGAGGCACGAAAGCGUGGGGAGCAAACAGG
rnacentral:misc_RNA from 1 species